UACGGAGGGGGCAAGCGUUGUUCGGAAUCAUUGGGCGUAAAGGGCGCGUAGGCGGCUGAUCAAGUCGGGUGUGAAAUCCCUCGGCUCAACCGAGGAACUGCAUUCGAUACUGGUCGGCUAGAGUCCGGGAGGGGAUGGUGGAAUUCCCAGUGUAGCGGUGAAAUGCGUAGAUAUUGGGAAGAACACCGGUGGCGAAGGCGGCCAUCUGGACCGGUACUGACGCUGAGGCGCGAAAGCCAGGGGGAGCGAAUGGG
rnacentral:rRNA from 1 species